rnacentral:rRNA from 1 species
CGUGCCAGCAGCCGCGGUCAUACGUAGGGUGCAAGCAUUAUCCGGAGUGACUGGGCGUAAAGAGUUGCGUAGGCGGUUUAAUAAGUGAAUAGUGAAACCUGGUGGCUCAACCAUACAGACUAUUAUUCAAACUGUUAAACUCGAGAAUGGUAGAGGUAACUGGAAUUUCUAGUGUAGGAGUGAAAUCCGUAGAUAUUAGAAGGAACACCGAUGGCGUAGGCAGGUUACUGGGCCAUUUCUGACGCUAAGGCACGAAAGCGUGGGGAGCGAACCGGAUUAGAUACCCGGGUAGUCCACGCCGUAAACGAUGGAUACUAGCUGUUGGAGGUAUCGACCCCUUCAGUAGCGAAGCUAACGCGUUAAGUAUCCCGCCUGUGGAGUACGGCCGCAAGGCUAAAACAUAAAGGAAUUGACGGGGACCCGCACAAGCGGUGGAUUAUGUUCUUUAAUUCGAUGAUAACCGAAGAACCUUACCAGGGCUUGACAUCCAGGGAAGGUCUGCGAAAGUAGACUGUGCCUUUUGGAACCCUGUGACAGGUGAUGCAUGGCCGUCGUCAGCUCGUGUCGUGAGAUGUUAGGUUAAGUCCUUCAACGAGCGCAACCCUUGUGAAUAGUUGUAUUUUUCUAUUCAGACUGCCCCGGUAACGGGGAGGAAGGAGGGGAUGAUGUCAGGUCAGUAUUUCCCUUACGUCCUGGGCUAGAAACGUAAUACAAUGGCUAGUACAAUGCGCAGCGAAGCCGCGAGGUGAAGCAAAUCGCAUCAAAGCUAGUCCCAGUUCGGAUUGUAGGCUGAAACUCGCCUGCAUGAAGUCGGAAUCGCUAGUAAUCGCAAAUCAGCAAGUUGCGGUGAAUACGUUCCCGGGUCUUGUACACACCGCCCGUCAAACCAUGAAAGUGACCAACACCCGAAGUCCGAUUCGUCGGCCUAAGGUGGGGGGCAUGAUUGGGGUUAAGUCGUAACAAGGUAUCCGUACCGGAAGGUGCGGAUG